GAAUCUUGCGCAAUGGCCGAAAGGCUGACGCAGCGACGCCGCGUGCGGGAGGAAGCCCUUCGGGGUGUAAACCGCUGUCAGGGGGGAAGAACCUCCGGGGUCGGAAUACGGCUUCGGACUGACGGUACCCCCAGAGGAAGCGCCGGCUAACUCCGUGCCAGCAGCCGCGGUAAGACGGAGGGCGCGAGCGUUGUUCGGAAUUACUGGGCGUAAAGCGCGCGCAGGCGGAUGGGCAAGUCGGAAGUGAAAUUCCGGGGCUCAACCCCGGACCGGCUUCCGAUACUGUUCGUCUAGGGACCGGUAGGGGCCGGUGGAAUUCCCGGUGUAGCGGUGGAAUGCGUAGAGAUCGGGAAGAACACCCGUGGCGAAGGCGGCCGGCUGGGCCGGAUCCGACGCUGAGGCGCGAAAGCGUGGGGAGCAAACA
rnacentral:rRNA from 1 species